GGUUGAAGGUUGGGUAACACUAACUGGAGGACCGAACCGACUAAUGUUGAAAAAUUAGCGGAUGACCUGUGGCUGGGGGUGAAAGGCCAAUCAAACCGGGAGAUAGCUGGUUCUCCCCGAAAGCUAUUUAGGUAGCGCCUCGUGAAUUCAUCUCCGGGGGUAGAGCACUGUUUCGGCUAGGGGGCCAUCCCGGCUUACCAACCCGAUGCAAACUGCGAAUACCGGAGAAUGUUAUCACGGGAGACACACGGCGGGUGCUAACGUCCGUCGUGAAGAGGGAAACAACCCAGACCGCCAGCUAAGGUCCCAAAGUCAUGGUUAAGUGGGAAACGAUGUGGGAAGGCCCAGACAGCCAGGAUGUUGGCUUAGAAGCAGCCAUCAUUUAAAGAAAGCGUAAUAGCUCACUGGUCGAGUCGGCCUGCGCGGAAGAUGUAACGGGGCUAAACCAUGCACCGAAGCUGCGGCAGCGAACGUAUCACCCAAGACAACUUUACGGAGUUGACGAUUGACGGAGCGAAGCGACGUCAAAGCGUUCAUUAAAGUCGAGUUGGCUUAGGGAUACGUUCGUUGGGUAGGGGAGCGUUCUGUAAGCCUGUGAAGGUGUGUCGUGAGGC
rnacentral:rRNA from 1 species